GUUCCGGGGAGUAUGUCGCAAGCUGAAAACUUAAGGAAAUGACGGAUAGGCACCACCAUGGGGGGAACGAUGAAGUGGAGCCUGCGCGUAAUGACUCAAACGGGAAAUUACCAGGUCCAGACAAGUAAAGGAUGACAGACCUGAGAGCUCUUCUUGAUCUAAUGGGUGUGGGUGCAUGCCGUCUCUAAGUUGGUGGAGCGAUUGUCGGUUAAUUCCGUAACGAACGAGACCUCAGCCUGCUAACUAGCUAUGUGGAGGGAUCCCUCCAUGGCCAGCUUCUUAGAGGGACUAUGGCCUUUUAGGCCACGGAAGUUUGAGGCAAUAACAGGUCUUGAUGCCCCUAGAUGUUCUGGCCGCACGCGCGCUACACUGAUGUAUCAACGAGUAUAUAGCCUUGGCCGACAGGCCCGGGAAAUCUUUGAAAUUUCACGUGAUGGGAUAGAUCAUUGCAAUUGUUGGUCUUAAACGAAAUCCUAGUAAGCGCGAGUCAUCCCCUCUCGUUGACUACGUCCCUGCCCUUGUACACACCGCCCGUCGCUCCUACCGAUUGAAUGGUCCGGUGAAGUGUUAGGAUCGUGGCCGACGUGGGCGGUUCGCUGCCCGCGACGUCGCGAGAAUUCCACUGAACCUUAUCAUUUAGAGGAAGGAGAGAGUCGUAACAAGGUUUCCGUAGGUGAACCUGCGGAAGGAUCAUUG
rnacentral:ncRNA from 1 species